GAUGAACGCUGGCGGCGUGCCUAAUACAUGCAAGUCGAGCGAACAGACGAGGAGCUUGCUCCUCUGACGUUAGCGGCGGACGGGUGAGUAACACGUGGAUAACCUACCUAUAAGACUGGGAUAACUUCGGGAAACCGGAGCUAAUACCGGAUAAUAUAUUGAACCGCAUGGUUCAAUAGUGAAAGACGGUUUUGCUGUCACUUAUAGAUGGAUCCGCGCCGCAUUAGCUAGUUGGUAAGGUAACGGCUUACCAAGGCAACGAUGCGUAGCCGACCUGAGAGGGUGAUCGGCCACACUGGAACUGAGACACGGUCCAGACUCCUACGGGAGGCAGCAGUAAGGAAUCUUCCGCGAUGGGCGAAAGCCUGACGGAGCAACGCCGCGUGAGUGAUGAAGGUCUUCGGAUCGUAAAACUCUGUUAUUAGGGAAGAACAAAUGUGUAAGUAACUAUGCACGUAUUGACGGUACCUAAUCAGAAAGCCACGGCUAACUACGUG
rnacentral:rRNA from 1 species